rnacentral:rRNA from 1 species
AUUGAACGCUGGCGGAAUGCUUUACACAUGCAAGUCGAACGGCAGCACGGACUUCGGUCUGGUGGCGAGUGGCGAACGGGUGAGUAAUAUAUCGGAACGUGCCCAGUCGUGGGGGAUAACGUAGUGAAAAUUACGCUAAUACCGCAUACGAUCUAUGGAUGAAAGCGGGGGAUCGCAAGACCUCGCGCGAUUGGAGCGGCCGAUAUCAGAUUAGGUAGUUGGUGAGGUAAAGGCUCACCAAGCCGACGAUCUGUAGCUGGUCUGAGAGGACGACCAGCCACACUGGAACUGAGACACGGUCCAGACUCCUACGGGAGGCAGCAGUGGGGAAUUUUGGACAAUGGACGCAAGUCUGAUCCAGCCAUUCCGCGUGCAGGACGAAGGCCUUCGGGUUGUAAACUGCUUUUGUACAGAACGAAAAGGUUUCUAUUAAUACUAGGGGCUCAUGACGGUACUGUAAGAAUAAGCACCGGCUAACUACGUGCCAGCAGCCGCGGUAAGAC